AGAUGACAUCCGCAUGUGGGGAAGCUGAUAAACUGCUAGCAAUGGUCUGCCAGCCGGCAGAGGUGAUUGGGCAAGUUGAUAUACCUGGUCACAUUCGAUUUUGGGGAAUUGAUUCAGGAAUUCGACACAGCGUUGGUGGAGCGGAUUAUGGCUCAGUUAGAAUCGGAGCAUUCAUGGGGCGGAGAAUGAUAAAGUCAAGAGCAUCAGAGUUGUUGUCAAACUCCUCAUCACUGGCCAAUGGCAUAAGCCACGACGACUUGGAAGAUGAUGGCAUUGAGCUACUGGAAUCCGAAUCCUCCUUAGAUUAUCUAUGCAAUCUCCCGCCUCACCGCUACGAAGCCAUGUACGCAAAGCAGCUGCCGGACACGAUAACAGGGGAGGCUUUUAUAGAGAAAUAUUCGGAUCACAACGAUGCCGUAACGGUGAUCGAUCCAAAGAGGG
rnacentral:misc_RNA from 1 species